rnacentral:rRNA from 1 species
UACAGAGGUCUCAAGCGUUGUUCGGAUUCAUUGGGCGUAAAGGGUGCGUAGGUGGCGCUGUAAGUCAGGUGUGAAAUUUCGGAGCUUAACUCCGAAACUGCAUUUGAUACUGCGGUGCUUGAGGACUGGAGAGGAGACUGGAAUUUACGGUGUAGCAGUGAAAUGCGUAGAGAUCGUAAGGAAGACCAGUGGCGAAGGCGGGUCUCUGGACAGUUCCUGACAGCUG